rnacentral:rRNA from 1 species
AUUGAACGCUGGCGGCAGGCCUAACACAUGCAAGUCGAGCGAGCGGCGGACGGGUGAGUAAUGGCUGGGAAUUGCAAAGUCGAGGGGGAUAACAGUUAGAAACGAGUGAUAAUACCGCAUAAGAUUGGCGUGGCCAGGGGGGAUUAGCUAGUUGGUGAGGUAAUGGCUCACCAAGGCGACGACCCCUAGCUGGUCUGAGAGGAUGAUCAGCCACACUGGAACUGAGACACGGUCCAGACUCCUACGGGAGGCAGCAGUGGGGAAUAUUGCACAAUGGGGGAAACCCUGAUGCAGCCAUGCCGCGUGUGUGAAGAAGGCCUUCGGGUUGUAAAGCACUGUUGGCGAGGAGGCGUUACUCGCAGAAGAAGCACCGGCUAACUACGUGCCAGCAGCCGCGGUAAUAC